rnacentral:rRNA from 1 species
AUGGGGCGCCGGAAGGCCACGGCGGGGCCGGCUCGGGGCUCCUCGAGGGCUGGCGACGGCGUAAUCUCCGAAAUCCGGGAGAAACAUAAAUUGGAAUUGGAGAAUUUGACACUAACAAAGCACCCAUUCAGGACAUUGCACUUCUUCAAUUUAGCUAUGUUGCAAUACUUGAAAAGAUCAGUAGCAUAUAUCCUGAGUAAAAGAGCUUUGUUUGUUCUCCUAAUUGUUAUGGUGGUAAUUCCUGGAGUUGCACUUCUGGUUACUGAUGGUCUGCACAAAAAGCAUGUGCAGGAGUUCCUUAAUUAUGCUAGAUUUGUGUUGUGGUGGGUUUCAUUAGGUGUGGCCUCUUCAAUCGGACUAGGUUCAGGUUUGCAUACGUUUGUGCUGUAUCUUGGGCCCCACAUUGCUCUCUUCACUAUUAAGGCUGUUCAAUGUGGCCGUGUUGAUUUGAAGACUGCUCCAUAUGAUACCAUACUGCUUAAACAGGCGCCAUCAUGGCUUGACAAGAAGUGUUCGGAAUUUGGAUCUCCCAUGUAUCCUUCAUCAGAUCAUUCAGUGAUGAUCCCAGUCUUUGAUUUACUCCCUCAGGUUCAGUUGGAAGCUGUUCUUUGGGGUAUUGGGACAGCACUUGGCGAGCUCCCUCCUUAUUUUAUAUCACGAGCUGCUCGUUUGUCAGGAAGUGAGUUAGAAGCUGUCAAGGAGCUAGAUGUUGCUCCUUCGUCAGAAGAUGGUCCAAUAGCAUGUACUGUGAAUCGUACAAAACGCUGGCUCCUUUCUCAUUCACAGCAUCUCAACUUCUUCACUAUCUUGAUACUUGCUUCGGUUCCAAACCCGCUGUUUGACCUUGCUGGUAUUAUGUGUGGUCAAUUUGGUAUACCCUUCUGGGAGUUUUUCUUUGCAACUUUGAUCGGGAAGGCCAUCAUCAAAACUCAUAUUCAGACACUGUUUAUCAUCUCGUUGUGCAACAACCAACUCUUGUAUUUUAUGGAGAAGGAGUUGAUCUGGAUAUUUGAGCACAUUCCUGGGUUUUCAGCGACCCUGCCAUCUGUAAUUGCCAAACUCCACAGUGCUAAGGAGAAGUAUUUAUCACCACCUGUGUCAGUCUCACAUUCACAAAUGGAGGAUAAACAGUGGAAUUUCUCUUUUGCGUUGGUCUGGAACACUGUAGUGUGGCUUGUGCUUGUGAACUUCUUCAUUAAGAUCGUCACAUCAACAGCUCAGGAUUAUCGCAAAAGGCAGCAGGACAUAGAGAUGGAGCUCAUUACUGAUUCCUCGCCCCAGAAUCAUUCGAAAACUAACUAA